rnacentral:rRNA from 1 species
AAAUUGCAGUUGAAACUGGCAGUCUUGAGUACAGUAGAGGUGGGCGGAAUUCGUGGUGUAGCGGUGAAAUGCUUAGAUAUCACGAAGAACUCCGAUUGCGAAGGCAGCCCACUAGACUGCAACUGACACUGAUGCUCGAAAGUGUGGGUAUCAAACAGGAUUAGAUACCCUGGUAGUCCACACAGUAAACGAUGAAUACUCGCUGUUUGCGAUAUACAGUAAGCGGCCAAGCGAAAGCAUUAAGUAUUCCACCUGGGGAGUACGCCGGCAACGGUGAAACUCAAAGGAAUUGACGGGGGCCCGCACAAGCGGAGGAACAUGUGGUUUAAUUCGAUGAUACGCGAGGAACCUUACCCGGGCUUAAAUUGCAUUUGAAUAAUCUGGAAACAGGUUAGCCGCAAGGCAAAUGUGAAGGUGCUGCAUGGUUGUCGUCAGCUCGUGCCGUGAGGUGUCGGCUUAAGUGCCAUAACGAGCGCAACCCUUAUCUUUAGUUACUAACAGGUCAUGCUGAGGACUCUAGAGAGACUGCCGUCGUAAGAUGUGAGGAAGGUGGGGAUGACGUCAAAUCAGCACGGCCCUUACGUCCGGGGCUACACACGUGUUACAAUGGGGGGUACAGAAGGCAGCUACCUGGCGACAGGAUGCUAAUCCCAAAAACCUCUCUCAGUUCGGAUCGAAGUCUGCAACCCGACUUCGUGAAGCUGGAUUCGCUAGUAAUCGCGCAUCAGCCAUGGCGCGGUGAAUACGUUCCCGGGCCUUGUACACACCGCCCGUCAAGCCAUGAAAGCCGGNNNUACCUGAAGUACGUAACCGCAAGGAGCGUCCUAGGGUAAAACUGGUAAUUGGGGAUAAGUCGUAACAAGGUAACCA